rnacentral:rRNA from 1 species
AUUGAACGCUGGCGGCAGGCCUAACACAUGCAAGUCGAAUGGUAACAGGAAACAGCUUGCUGUUUCUCUGACGAGUGGCGGACGGGUGAGUAAUGUCUGGGAAACUGCCUGAUGGAGGGGGAUAACUACUGGAAACGGUAGCUAAUACCGCAUAACGUCGCAAGACCAAAGAGGGGGACCUUCGGGCCUCUUGCCAUCAGAUGUGCCCAGAUGGGAUUAGCUAGUAGGUGGGGUAACGGCUCACCUAGGCGACGAUCCCUAGCUGGUCUGAGAGGAUGACCAGCCACACUGGAACUGAGACCCGGUCCAGACUCCUACGGUAGGCAGCAGUGGGGAAUAUUGCACAAUGGGCGCAAGCCUGAUGCAGCCAUGCCGCGUGUAUGAAGAAGGCCUUCGGGUUGUAAAGUACUUUCAGCGGGGAGGAAGGGAGUAAAGUUAAUACCUUGGCUCAUUGACGUUACCCGCAGAAGAAGCACCGGCUAACUCCGUG